rnacentral:rRNA from 1 species
GAUGAACGCUGACAGAAUGCUUAACACAUGCAAGUCGAUGGGGCAGAGGUGCUUGCUCCAUGGCUACCAUGGCGGACGGGUGAGUAAGGCAUACGGGGCUUACCUGCAGGAAUGGGAUAACAGGGGGAAACACCUGACAACACCGGAUAAUGUCAUGGUGCUGCAUGGUUUUUUGAUGAAAGGAGACGCCUGCGGAGAGGCUUGCGUCUUAUUAGCCAGUUGGUGAGGUAGUGGCUCACCAAGGCGAGGAGAGGUAGCCGGCCUGAAAGGAGGGACGGCCAAGAGGGGUAUGGGAGGCGGCCGUUACGACUACGGGGGGAAGCGGGGGAGAAUGUCGGAGAAAGGGGGCAACCGUGAUGCAGGACUUCUGUGUGCACGAAGAAGGUUUUCGGAAUGAAAAGAGCUUUCAGCAGGGAUGAAGUAAGUGACGGUACCUGCAGAAGAAGCGACGGCUAACUACGUG